UCGGUUUUGCGGAUGAUCGCCCUCAUAAUUUUCUAAAUACUUGAUAUUUGGGAGGAAAGUCCGGACUCCAUAUGGCAGCGCAAAGGGUAACGCCCUUCGACAGUAAUGUUAGGAACAGUGGAACAGAGAGAAUGUCCAGGACUUUGAUCCUGGGGGCGGGAACGGGAGCCCCUAGAGGAGUCGCUGGAGUGAAAACAGCCAAACUCUGCGCGGAGCAAGAUCAAAUAGGGUGACACUAGUAGGGCGGCCAGCCCGUAGUCACCGGGUAAGAUCGCUUGAGGGUGUCAGUAAUGCCACUCCCAGAGGAAUGAUCAUCUAAGGUUAUCGGGACAAUUAUGGGACCUGGUAAUUUGGACAGAAUCCGGCUUACAGCAAAACCGUGUUU
rnacentral:RNase_P_RNA from 1 species